rnacentral:lncRNA from 1 species
UGGGUAUAUAACUGAAGACCAAUCCUGCCCCGUAAAGUUUUAAACAGGAAAACAUCUAAAGGAAUAAGGUGAUAAAAAUAUUACCUUAAAUUGAGAUAAAGAUGACUGUUAUAGAAAAUCUGUUUUGCAGAUAACGGAGAUAAUGAGAGUUCUUACCAAGUUUGUUAAUGCAUGAGCAACACAACCAUUCCAAAUGUUGAGCAGUAUUUGCAUACAGGUCCAGAGCCCCUCCCCAGAUAUUGGUUAAGUUCAUCUUGAUCAUUCUUUAGUUUUAUAAGUUUGCCUGGGUAAAAAGGCAGCACCUUAAUUCUUAGAUUAGAAAUUGAAAAUAAAAGUGUAGCAUUUAAAUAAUGGCCAGAAUGAAACACUUCCUUCUUAGUGGCUUUCAAUACACAAUAAUUCAACAUCAACAUAUUUAUUAUGAAUG